GGCUUUUAUAGUAAACAUUUCCCUUUCAUUCUUGCCCUGCCAACAAGUUCCCUUCUCCAGACUUAACAAAUAUUAAAUAUUUUUUGUGUAUCUUUACAGAGAUAUGUUACACAUAUACAGGAAAGCAACUCACCAAAAAGAAUCACCUUCUACGUCUUACUUAGGAUAUUCCUUUCAUGGUCUUUGGGCUGGAAGAACAUGCUUCUAGUUGUUAUCUAUUUAUUUCGUCUGAACCUAUUGGCAUUUUCAGCAUCCCUUGGUGUCAGUCUUGAUAUUACAAAGGCGGCCAGCUACAGCCUCUGCUGAUUCACCCUCUUCCUGAGUGCAACCGGGGCCCUGUGUGGUGUAUGAUUCCCUGCUCCCCCAGGCUGAAAGAGAUUAUUUUCAUUAUGAUUCUGAGACAUGUGCAAAGAGCUACUUCCAGCUGAGAGAGACUUACCAGUGCCCCUGCUGGGAGACAGAGCAUUGAGAUAUGUGCUGUAAUUUCACCCCUGUGGAACCAGGAAGUCUGGCAAGAUGACUGGCUUCUGACCAGCCUACUACCUACUCCUUGCUGGCCCGAGGAGCCACCGCUGCCUUAGUGAAAACAGAUCCCGCUUUCAUCUUUCACCCUCAAUAGUAAUGGACAUUGUAAUGGGCAUCGUACCUAUGACUCACCGAAACUCAGCAAUCUGGCUAAUGCAACUAUCUCCUUUAUCUCCUAUUUUAUAGCAAACUGCAGAGGAUUUGAGAGUUGCACUAUUAAAAAAAAAAAGUACAUUGGCAUAACAGCUAUUGUAAACAGUUUGGUCAAUUUUUAUUGUUGAAAUACACUUUCUAUUGAUGAUCUUUGGGGAAACAUAGAAAGCAUAAGCAAGAAAAUAAAAGCCACCUAUAAUAGAAUCUUCCUGAAAUAGCCUAUUGAUAAUAUUUUAUGUGCAUCCCUUCAGUCUUUUUUAUGUGCAUGUAUAUGGUCUCCCAAAUUGGGAUAAUAUGCCUAUUAUUUGACAUUAAAAAUAAUUA